AACGUACACAUUGUUAUCCUCCGCCUGUUCUGCUGUUGAGGACUUUCUUGGAUCGUUCUUUGUCUGGUUCCUCUCCCUUGACCUUACCGCCAGGGGUGACCCUGCUGGGAGCACAUGACUCCCGACGGCACCGCUCACAGGGUUCACUGGAACACGCAAGCCCACUCACCACUGCAAGGUGCCAUCUGGAUCAGGAGAGGCAAUUGGGCUGCUAAUGUCUGGAGGCAGCGAUGGGCUGGAUGUUGGCCGCAAACUGAAGCUGAAUCCUGAAAAGACAGAAGCGUUCUGUGUUCCAAGUUCUCAAGUCCAGGAGAUGGGAAGCCGGAUUGUGCUGGAUGGGGUUGCGCUCCCCUGGAAAGGACGGAGCCCAAGGUGGCAUUAUUGCAACGCGCUCCACAUGGGUCUGCCCUUCAAGACGACUCGGAAACUUCAACUGGUCCAAAAUGCAGUGGACAAGAUUACUGGCUGGGGUUCCAUUUAGAACUCAUACAACUCCUAAAACAAUGGUAUUGGUUGCAGUUUAUUUCCAGGCCCAAUUAAAGGUGUUUAAAGCCCUAAAUGACUUAGGCCCAAAAUAUCUCAGAAACUGUCUCCUUCCCUACAGACCCUCUCAGAUUUUAAGAUGAACAGAGGGUCCUUCUUAGUAGUUGCAUCACCCUCAGAUAUUUAGGAGACGGUGGCCAGGGAGAGCUUUCUCUCUGGCAGCCCCUAAGCUGUGGAAUUUUCUCAUACAGAGGUACAUUACGCACCUUUACUACAUAGUUUUCGGCGAAUGCUAAAGACACACCUCUUUAACUUGGUUCUUCGGCUCCUGAGUUUUUUUUUUUUUUUUUUUUAGAACACACCCUAUUCUUGUUAUUGAAAUGUAUUUUGUUUUUAAUAUUGUAUUUUGGAUUUUAUAACCUAAUUCUGAGAUUAUUGUGGGCCUUCGCUUUGCUCAAUCUAGUGGGACUGGGAUUCAUUCAGUCUUCACAUUCCCUAAAAGCUCUUACGAAGAAAAAGAAAUCUUGCACAAGGGGAAUGCUGCGAGCUGUCAAAAUGAACAUGAAUUAACAGCUUGAUGGGUGAAGUCGGUCCUGGAUGAGAUAAAACAAAAUGCAAGGAUUCCACCAGCCCUCCAUGGAAGGCCCCGGACAACAAAAGGUCCUACUACACACCUGAGCAACUACACGCUGAUCCUUCUUCGUUCUUCAGAUCUUGGAAAGGAGAACCUUCCCUUUCUUCCAUCUAGGAGAUGAGGUCAGUUUUGGAGGAAAGAAACAGACUGGUUACUUCUGACUGAAAAAAUCUUCAGGCUUUCCAAAGCAAACCCCUUUCUGAUCCCCACUUCCAAAGGGACGUAAGGCCAGGCUGCUUGAACUCCUGCAGACUAAUAUUGUGUGUUGAUAAAGGAUUUUAAAAGGGACAACAAGCAAACUGGGAUGGCCCUAUUAUGUUUUGAAAUGGAUUGGUACGAGAGAGCAGCUAUGCUUUCAUCUGUAACACCCAGCUCUUGUUUGGCUUUGCUUUGGCUGUGAGCCGCAUUUGCAGCAACUGCGUGGAAAAGCAACAUGCAAAU